GUGGUGAGGAGGCUCUUCCUCUUCCUCUGCCCCAGCUUGUGGGCGUCAGCCCUGGUAUGGACCUGGCACCAUGAUAAAGGGAUGCAGCCAUGAGGGUAUAUGAAGACUCAGGCCCCACCCAUGGAGGGUAGAACACACAUUUGCUGAAGACUUUAUGUGCUGGGCUGACUCAACUGGGCUGGAUUCCAGGCCCAUCACUGACUAUGCUUCUGUCAUUUCAACGGAGAGAAGAGGAAAUGAGGAUAAGUUCCAGAGGGAUGCAAGGGUGAAGUGCACUCACAAAGCCAGCUGCCACAUAGUGAGAUGGUCUUUGGAGAGGCCCAAGUAGCAGCAAUCAACCAUCAACAAACAGAAGCCCUCAGUCCCACAAUCCGAAAAGAAUUGAAUUAUGCAAACAACCACAAGAAUGAGCUUGGAAGCAGAUUCACCCCAGAAGGACCUGGAGAAGAGUUGACUGUAGCCUCCGAGAGAUCCGAGCCAGAGACCUGCUAAGCCACGCCCCCAUUCCUGACCCACAGAAACCAGGAUAAUAAAUGUGUGUUGUUUUAAGUCUCUAAGUUUUGGGGUAAUUUGUUAGAUAGCAAUAGACAACUAACAGUCUCCAAUAUUUAAUGCCAGUUAUUUACUGUGUUGGGUCGUGGGGACAUUAAGGUGUUCUUUUAG
rnacentral:lncRNA from 10 species